rnacentral:rRNA from 1 species
UGGGGAAUUUUGGACAAUGGGCGAAAGCCUGAUCCAGCAAUGCCGCGUGUGUGAAGAAGGCCUUCGGGUUGUAAAGCACUUUUGUCCGGAAAGAAAUCCUUGGCUCUAAUACAGUCGGGGGAUGACGGUACCGGAAGAAUAAGCACCGGCUAACUACGUGCCAGCAGCCGCGGUAAUACGUAGGGUGCAAGCGUUAAUCGGAAUUACUGGGCGUAAAGCGUGCGCAGGCGGUUUGCUAAGACCGAUGUGAAAUCCCCGGGCUCAACCUGGGAACUGCAUUGGUGACUGGCAGGCUAGAGUAUGGCAGAGGGGGGUAGAAUUCCACGUGUAGCAGUGAAAUGCGUAGAGAUGUGGAGGAAUACCGAUGGCGAAGGCAGCCCCCUGGGCCAAUACUGACGCUCAUGCACGAAAGCGUGGGGAGCAAACAGGAUUAGAUACCCUGGUAGUCCACGCCCUAAACGAUGUCAACUAGUUGUUGGGGACUUCAUUUUCCUUAGUAACGUAGCUAACGCGUGAAGUUGACCGCCUGGGGGAGUACGGUCGCAAGAUUAAAACUUAAAUGAAUUGACGGGGUCAUA